rfam:Myotis davidii contig222633, whole genome shotgun sequence.
GGAGGUUCUUGGGUGAUGCAUCCCAGAAUAGGGUUCCCUCCUCUCUGGUUCCGGUGCAUCACCCAAGAACCGCA